rnacentral:rRNA from 1 species
UCCUUGGGUGACGAGUGGGGGACGGGUGAGUAAUGUCUGGGAAACUGCCCGAUGGAGGGGGAUAACUACUGGAAACGGUAGCUAAUACCGCAUAACGUCGCAAGACCAAAGAGGGGGACCUUCGGGCCUCUUGCCAUCGGAUGUGCCCAGAUGGGAUUAGCUAGUAGGUGGGGUAACGGCUCACCUAGGCGACGAUCCCUAGCUGGUCUGAGAGGAUGACCAGCCACACUGGAACUGAGACACGGUCCAGACUCCUACGGGAGGCAGCAGUGGGGAAUAUUGCACAAUGGGCGCAAGCCUGAUGCAGCCAUGCCGCGUGUAUGAAGAAGGCCUUCGGGUUGUAAAGUACUUUCAGCGAGGAGGAAGGCGUUGUGGUUAAUAACCGCAGCGAUUGACGUUACUCGCAGAAGAAGCACCGGCUAACUCCGUGCCAGCAGCCGCGGUAAUACGGAGGGUGCAAGCGUUAAUCGGAAUUACUGGGCGUAAAGCGCACGCAGGCGGUCUGUCAAGUCGGAUGUGAAAUCCCCGGGCUCAACCUGGGAACUGCAUCCGAAACUGGCAGGCUAGAGUCUUGUAGAGGGGGGUAGAAUUCCAGGUGUAGCGGUGAAAUGCGUAGAGAUCUGGAGGAAUACCGGUGGCGAAGGCGGCCCCCUGGACAA